AGAGGAUGGGCGCUGAGCAGCACACAGCCCGCGGCGGGGUCUCAGGAUCCGCGGCGCUGCCCGGGGCCGGGGGAAGGAAGCCAGCCGAGGAGACGCACGUGCCCUGAGUCCGGGAGCGGGGAGCCUCUUCAUCUCUCCAUCCUCCCUCCGCGCGCGCCCUCAGCCGUCCUCGUCCGCUCACCAUGCACCUCCCCCCCAAGAAAGGACCACAUGCGUGCCAGGGACGUGAGCCCCGGCCACAGGGACAUAGCAGCCUAGAAGGGUGAAAUAAUGUUCUUACCACGGUCUCUCCAGCACCAAAAAGAGCCUGGUACAGAGUAGAUACUCAAUGAAUGAGUGCUGAAUCGCUCUGAAUGGAGAGGGGAUGCCCACAACUGCAUCUUUUGCCAGGUGAUGCUUCGCACACUCAAGUUUGAAGAUUAACGGUCCUAGACGUCAAACCUGUUUGCAUGCCAAGUGUCGUUUUAUUUUAAAAUGUCUUCACUUUUUUUUUUUUGGUAGAGAAGGGGGUCUUACUACGUUGCCCAGGCUGGUCUUGAACUCCUGGCCUUAAGUGAUCUUCCCAGCUUGGCCUCCCAAAGUGCUGGGAUUACAGGCACGAGCCACUGCCCCCAGUCCCUUUUUUUUUUUUUUUUUUUUUUUGAGACGGAGUCUUGCUCUGUUGCCAGGCUGGAGUGCAGUGGUGCGAUCUCGGCUCACUGCAACCUCUACCUCCUGGGUCCAAGCGUUUCUCCUGCCUUAGCCUCCCGAGUAGCUGGGACUACAGGCGUGCGACACCACGCCCAGCUAAUUUUUGUAUUUUUAGUAGCGACUGGGUUUCACCAUGUUGGCCAGGAUGGUCUCGAUCUCUUGACCUCGUGAUCCGCCCACCUCGGCCCCCCAAAGUGCUGGAUUACAGACGUGAGCCACCACACCCUGCCCAGUCUCUUUUUUUCUGGAAGUUUUAAGAUACUCGACGCAUGCCUUUGGCUUUGUUCAGCCAAAAAGGACUAUUAAAUGGAAAAAAGCAAGGAGGCACUACAUUAUGUUUUAAAGCUCACACUGAAGUUAACCUCAAGAACUAGAAAGUACAGAAAACAAGGCUUUCCCUACAUUAAGCAGGAAGAUCAGCAAACACAGGUUCGAAACAGGAAAGCACUGAACACCCGAUGGCUGCCUGAGAGAAACAUCCCAGGACACACUGACCCAUGUGACAGCACGUGCCACUCAGACGAGGUGUCAGCAACGGAGACAGAAUGAGGAAACGGAGACCAAGGUGACGUCGGCAGUGGCCGCUGAUGCCUGCUCCAGGUGGGGUGGUGGUGGCCAUGGGCUCUGCGAAUCCCAGGCUCAAUGGCAACACUGAGGUGGGAGGAGGGAAAGGGACACUUGCUGGUGUCUGGCUUUCCUCUUGGGCAUCAGCUUCCAGCCCUUCAGCCUGAGCUCACCAACUUCCAUGGGUGGGCCCUGCUUGACUCCCCCAGCCUGUCAGCGUGUCGCCUCCCCUCUGCCACACUGGGCUGCUUCACAACUCAGGACGGGAUGUGAGCUAUUAGGGAACCAGGCUUCCUGAUUUCCAGAGGCCAUCAGUGUGGAAGGGUGCAGGCCUGGGAGCCACCUUUGUGAGCAGGCAGGGAGAGCAGGUGGGAGUGUGAAGCCAGCACCGAGGAAGGAAGCAGAGCUGGGAAACGGUGUUAAGGGACAUGCGUGCAUGCACGCGGUCCACGGCCUAGGCUCUGCCUUUGGGCCCUACCCACCGACUGUGUAUGUGAGCCCCCACAUUUGCAUUUAACAAUUUAACACCAGGCACCUGUCUCCUGCAGUGAUGCAGGCUCGGGACCUCCAGAGCAGCGGGCAGGAUGACACCCUGAACCUGCACUUCAUCUCCUGGCUGCUUUAUUCUGUCAAUUGACUUCUGUAAUACAAUUUCCAUAUGGUGACACUGCCUUCCAAAACAGUUAGAGCUUAUUCUCAGUAUUCUUCAUUGGCAGUGGAAAAUGCUUCAGUACUUUAUUGAAAGAAAGCAAUAAAUAAUACUGUGAUAAAAAUAGUUCAAAAGUAGACUGUACAUACUUUGUUACAUAAUCAGGAAGUUGACAAAAGAUUAAUAGAAAAACAGAACAGUAACAAUGAAUUGUACAAGUAAAUUAAAAGCAGAAACCAACUGAAAAGACAGGCUGCCUCUGUCUCUGGAUCUGCUGCACAAUAAAUACCACGCCAUGGUCUGACACA